GGAGCAAUCCCUCAAGUAGAGUGGCGAACGGGUGAGUAACGCGUGAAGAACCUGCCUUCAACAGGGGGAUAACACUCCCAACGGGGUGCUAAUACCGCAUGAGACCACGGAGUCGCGUGGCUCUGAGGUCAAAGGUGGCCUCUAUUUAUAAGCUACCGGUUGAAGAUGGCUUCGCGUCCCAUUAGCUAGUUGGCGGUGUAAAAGACCACCAAGGCGACGAUGGGUAGCUGGUCUGAGAGGAUGGUCAGCCACACUGGGACUGAGAUACGGCCCAGACUCCUACGGGAGGCAGCAGUCGAGAGGCUUCGGCAAUGGGGGAAACCCUGACCGAGCGACGCCGCGUGGAGGAUGAAGGCCCUUGGGUUGUAAACUCCUUUUGUUGGGGAAGAAAUGCGAUCAGGUGAACAAUCUGGUCGUUUGACGGUACCCGACGAAUAAGCUCCGGCUAACUCCGUGCCAGCAGCCGCGGUAACACGGGGGGAGCAAGCGUUGUUCGGAAUCACUGGGCGUAAAGGGCGUGUAGGCGGUUCGAUAAGUGGAAUGUGAAAUGCCUCGGCUCACCCGAGGACCGGCAUCCCAAACUGUCGAGCUUGAGUAUGGGAGAGGAUGUGGGAAUUCCUGGUGUAGCGGUGAAAUGCGUAGAUAUCAGGAGGAACACCGGUGGCGAAGGCGCACAUCUGGCCCAAUACUGACGCUGAGGCGCGAAAGCUAGGGGAGCAAACGGG
rnacentral:rRNA from 1 species